rnacentral:rRNA from 1 species
ACCCGCUGAACUUAAGCAUAUCAAUAAGCGGAGGAAAAGAAACCAACAGGGAUUUGCCCCUAGUAACGGCGAGUGAAGCGGCAACAGCUCAAAUUUGAAAUCUGGCUCUUUUAGAGUCCGAGUUGUAAUUUGCAGAGGGCGCUUUGGCUUUGGCAGCGGUCCAAGUUCCUUGGAACAGGACGUCACAGAGGGUGAGAAUCCCGUACGUGGUCGCUGGCUAUUGCCGUGUAAAGCCCCUUCGACGAGUCGAGUUGUUUGGGAAUGCAGCUCUAAAUGGGAGGUACAUUUCUUCUAAAGCUAAAUAUUGGCCAGAGACCGAUAGCGCACAAGUAGAGUGAUCGAAAGAUGAAAAGCACUUUGGAAAGAGAGUCAAACAGCACGUGAAAUUGUUGAAAGGGAAGCGCUUGCAGCCAGACUUGCUUACAGUUGCUCAUCCGGGCUUUUGCCCGGUGCACUCUUCUGUAGGCAGGCCAGCAUCAGUUCGGGCGGUAGGAUAAAGGUCUCUGUCACGUACCUCCUCUCGGGGAGGCCUUAUAGGGGAGACGACAUACUACCAGCCUGGACUGAGGUCCGCGCAUCUGCUAGGAUGCUGGCGUAAUGGCUGU